GAGGAUGUGGUCCAGUGGUCAAGAAACAUGCUUCAAAUGCAUGGAACGAUAGUUCGAUUCUAUCCAUCUUCA
rnacentral:tRNA from 1 species